GAUGAACGCUGGCGGCGUGCCUAAUACAUGCAAGUCGAGCGAACAGAUGAGGAGCUUGCUCCUCUGACGUUAUCGGCGGACGGGUGAGUAACACGUGGUUAACCUACCUUUAAGACUGGGAUAACUUUGGCAGACCGUAGCUAAUACCGGAUAAUAUAUUGAACCGCAUGGUUCAAUAGUGAAAGACGGUUUUGCUGUCACUUAUAGAUGGAUCCGCGCAGCAUUAGUUAGUUGGUAAGGUAACGGCUUACCAAGGCUACGAUUCGUAGCCGACCUGAGAGCGACAACCGCCACACUGGAUCUGAGACUCGGUCCAGACUCCGGCACUGGGCAGCAGUAGGGAAUCUUCCGCGAUGGAGGAAAGCCUGACGGAGCAACGCGGCGUGAGUGAUGAAGGUCUUCGGACGGUAAAGCGCUGUUAUUAGUGGAGAACAAAUGUGUAAGUAACUGUGCACGUCUUGACGGUACCUGGACAGAAAGCCACGGCUAACUACGUG
rnacentral:rRNA from 1 species